rnacentral:rRNA from 1 species
GGAGUUAGCCGGUGCUUCUUCUGUGAGUGAUGUCCUUCCUGCCGGCUAUUAACCCGCAGGCCUUCUUCCUCACUGAAAGUGCUUUACAACCCGAAGGCCUUCUUCACACACGCGGCAUGGCUGGAUCCAGGGUUGCCCCCCAUUGUCCAAUAUUCCCCACUGCUGCCUCCCGUAGGAGUCUGGGCCGUGUCUCAGUCCCAGUGUGGCUGAUCAUCCUCUCAGACCAGCUACGGAUCGUCGCCUUGGUGAGCCGUUACCUCACCAACCAGCUAAUCCGACAUAGGCUCAUCCGAUAGCGCGAGGCCCGAAGGUCCCCCGCUUUCCCCCGUAGGGCGUAUGCGGUAUUAGCCUGGGUUUCCCCAGGUUAUCCCCCACUACCGGGCAGAUUCCUAUGCAUUACUCACCCGUCCGCCGCUCGCCACCAGGGAGCAAGCUCCCCGUGCUGCCGCUCGACUUGCAUGUGUUAGGCCUGCCGCCAGCGUUCAAUCUGAACCAAGAUCAAAUUCUGA